GGUUCCGUGGUCAGUGGUAGUGACACUCGACUCUGAAUCCAGUAACCUGAGUUCAAAUCUCGGUGGAACCU
rnacentral:tRNA from 1 species